rnacentral:rRNA from 1 species
GACGAACGCUGGCGGCGUGCCUAAUACAUGCAAGUAGAACGCUGAAGGAGGAGCUUGCUUCUCUGGAUGAGUUGCGAACGGGUGAGUAACGCGUAGGUAACCUGCCUGGUAGCGGGGGAUAACUAUUGGAAACGAUAGCUAAUACCGCAUAACAGUAGAUGUUGCAUGACAUUUGCUUAAAAGGUGCAAUUGCAUCACUACCAGAUGGACCUGCGUUGUAUUAGCUAGUUGGUGGGGUAACGGCUCACCAAGGCGACGAUACAUAGCCGACCUGAGAGGGUGAUCGGCCACACUGGGACUGAGACACGGCCCAGACUCCUACGGGAGGCAGCAGUAGGGAAUCUUCGGCAAUGGACGGAAGUCUGACCGAGCAACGCCGCGUGAGUGAAGAAGGUUUUCGGAUCGCUAAAGCUCUGUUGUAAGAGAAGAACGAGUGUGAGAGUGGAAAGUUCACACUGGACGGUAUCUACCAGAAAGG